UAUAUAUUUUAAUUUGCGUAGCCCCCAAAAUAUUGGGACAUAUAAAAAAAGACAACUCUGUUCCGCAGAGUAGCUGUUGACAUUAUAGUUGCACAGGAACUUUGUUGACUCUAGAGAACACAUCACACAUCCCCGUGGCGGCGCCUUUGCAUGCGGAUGUCAUCCAUAUCAACAUUCGAUGCCAGUUUCUGCACCUACCAUGGUGACAAUGGGUAACUGGGAAUCAGGGUUUCAUUCCGUACAGUGACCCUGAGAAACGGCUACCACAUGCAAGGAAGGCAGCAGGCGAGCAAAUGACCCACUCCUGACGCGGGAAGGUAGUGAUG